rnacentral:rRNA from 1 species
CCUACGGGUGGCAGCAGUAGGGAAUCUUUCACAAUGGGCGAAAGCCUGAUGGAGCAAUGCCGCGUGCAGGAUGAAGGCCUUCGGGUGGUAAACUGCUUUUAUAAGCGAGAAAUAUGAUGGUAACUUAUGAAUAAGGAUCGGCUAACUACGUGCCAGCAGCCGCGGUCAAACGUAGGAGCCGAGCAUUAUCCGGGGUUACUGGGUGUAAAGAGUUGCGUAGGUGGGAUAGUAAGUAGCUAGUGUAAGCUGGUGGCUCAACCAUUCGGACUACUAGCUAAACUGUUAAGCUCGAGAGCGUUAGGGGUAACUGGAAUUUGUAGUGUAGGGGUGAAAUGCGUAGAUAUUAGAAAGAACACCGAUAGCGUAGGCAGGUUACUGGGACGGUUCUGACGCUGAGGCACGAAAGCGUAGGGAGCAAACGGGAUUAGAUACCCUUGUAGUC